UCGAAACCUGCACAAGCAGAAAGACCCGUGAACUCGUUUACAAACACCGGGGGGAUGGCGUUUGGCCACAAACCAACGACGUCCCCCGAGCUCGGCAGGAGGCCGGCUCCUAGCGAGUCGGUCUCCUCCCAGCACGAACAAACCCCGGCGCGGAUUGCGCCAAGGACCAUGAACAAUAGCGCGUCCCACGCCCCUCGGUUGCCCGAAGUGCGCGUGGGCCGUCGUGUCGUUUCGAUACAUU
rnacentral:misc_RNA from 1 species